GGGGUUCUGANAGGAAGGUCCCCCACAUUGGCAACUGAGACACGGUNCCAAACUCCUACGGGNAGGCAGCAGUGAGGAAUAUUGGUCAAUGGGCGAGAGCCUGAACCAGCCAAGUAGCGUGAAGGAUGACUGCCCUAUGGGUUGUAAACUUCUUUUAUAAAGGAAUAAAGUCGGGUAUGU
rnacentral:rRNA from 1 species